rnacentral:rRNA from 1 species
UACAGAGGUCUCAAGCGUUGUUCGGAUUCAUUGGGCGUAAAGGGUGCGUAGGUGGCGCGCUAAGUCAGGUGUGAAAUUUCGGAGCUUAACUCCGAAACUGCAUUUGAUACUGGCGUGCUUGAGGACUGGAGAGGAGACUGGAAUUCAUGGUGUAGCAGUGAAAUGCGUAGAGAUCAUGAGGAAGACCAGUGGCGAAGGCGACUACCUGGCCCAUUCUUGACGCUGAGGCGCGAAAGCUAGGGGAGCGAACGGG